GAUCAUGGCUCAGGAUGAACGCUGGCGGCGUGCCUAACACAUGCAAGUCGAACGAAGCUCUUACGACAGAACUCUUCGGAGGGAAGAUGUAAGAGACUGAGUGGCGGACGGGUGAGUAACGCGUGGGUAACCUGCCCUAUACAGGGGGACAACAGUUGGAAACGACUGCUAAUACCGCAUAAGCGCACAGUACCGCAUGGUACAGAGCGAAAAACUCCGGUGGUAUAGGAUGGGCCCGCGU
rnacentral:rRNA from 1 species